AAGUCGUAACAAGGUUUCCGUAGGUGAACCUGCGGAAGGAUCAUUCACAAUAAGUGUUUAUGGCACUUUCAAAUCCAUACCCACCUUGUGUGCAUUGUAAAGGCCCUUUCAACUUUGGAAGAUUGGGCUUCAUUUUCUCACACGUCUUCAAUUGCAAGUCUAACAUUCAGAGUAAUCAAAACUCGAAUACAACUUUCAACAACGGAUCUCUUGGCUCUC
rnacentral:misc_RNA from 1 species